ensembl:lncRNA
GCUCUCUGGUAUGAAGAGAAUUAGGGUUGGGGCACUGCUGAUAGGACGAAGAGAGGAGGAAAAUGGAAGGAAUGGACGCAGAGAGAACUAAUGAGGAAAAAGUCGCUUCAGUCGUGUCCGACUCUGUGCAACCCCAUAGACGGCAGCCCACCAGGCUUCCCUAUCCCUGGGAUUCUCCAGGCAGGAACACUGGAGUGGGUUGCCAUUUCCUUCUCCAAUGCACGAAAGUGAAAAGUGAAAGUGAAGUCGCUCAGUCGUGUCCGACCCUUAGCGACCCCAUGGACUGCAGCCUACCAGGCUCCUCCGUCCAUGGGAUUUUCUAGGCAAAAGUACUGGAGUGCGGUGCCAUUGCCUUCUCUGCAAAUCUUCACUAGUCUUCUGCAGACUUAGUAAGACUAAUCAGAAGAGGAGACCCCAAUUGAAAAAGCCAGUUCAUCUACUGAUCCACCUUGAAACCCACCAGCUGAUAAUCCCUGCCCCUGCAGGCAGAGUUUCCAGUCAAUUCUGGCUUCACCAACUUUUGAAUAAAGCCUCAAC